rnacentral:rRNA from 1 species
GAUGAACGCUAGCGGGAGGCCUAACACAUGCAAGCCGAGCGGUAUUGUUUCUUCGGAAUUGAGAGAGCGGCGUACGGGUGCGUAACACGUGUGCAACCUGCCUUUAUUUGGGGGAUAGCCUUUCUAAAGGAAGUUUAAUACUCCAUAAUAUAUUGAACGGCAUCGUUUAAUAUUGAAAGCUCCGGCGGAUAGAGAUGGGCACGCGCAAGAUUAGCUAGUUGGUGAGGUAACGGCUGACCAAGGCGAUGAUCUUUAGGGGGCCUGAGAGGGUGAUCCCCCACACGGGGACUGAGACAAGGAGCAGACUCCUACGGGAGGCAGCAGUGAGGAAGAUUGGUCAAUGGGUGCAAGCCUGAACCAGCCAUCCCGCGUGAAGGAAGACUGCCCUAUGGGUUGUAAACUUCUUUUGUAUAGGGAUAAACCUACCCUCGGGAGCGUAGCUGAAGGUACUAGACGAAUAAGCACCGGCUAACUCCGUG